rnacentral:lncRNA from 1 species
AGAAGAUAUAGUGGCCAAUAGGAAGUGCGUUUCUGAGAAAUGCUGCGUCUCGCCGCAUUUGGCGCGGGCCCCACCGGACCUCUCCACUUCAAAUUGGGGCCCACUACCACCUCAUCUUCCACCCACUUGCUCGCUGCUAUUCGAUACCCUCACUUAUCGUGCCGCUGAUUCUCUGUGCAACCAUAGUCAAAACUAAAUUAAAUGAUUGGUUACCAUUUAUACGAUUCACCAAUAUAGUUUUGUAAAUUACUAGCCACUAAAAAAAUCAACAUGAUUAUGAGUAUUAUCUGCACUUGUUACAUUUUCUUUUUUCA